GCAGAGUUUGUUACUGGCCUGCCUGGGGACAGUGACACUGGAGAUGCGCGUUCAUGUGAAUUCUCCAUUUUGUUCUUUCAGUCUUUGAACGAAUACAACGUCGCCCGGUUGGAAUAUUAUCGCUAUUUUACGAGAAAAAUCGCAUAAAAAUUGAUUUUAAACAGCGUUUGACAUGCUUCGAAGUACGGUAAUGGAAUAUUUUGAAUUUUUUUGUCAUUGUGACCUGAAUACACGAACAAAACGGAGCUAUUUCAAUAUAACUAUGGAUUAUUUCGAACCAAAACAACAUUUGUUGUUGAAGUAGAAGUCCUGGGAGUGCAUUCUGACGAAAAACAGCAAAGGUAACCAUGGUUGAAAGAGGAAGAACAAUGAUUCCAAGCACCACCCUCCUUUUGAAUCUUCCAGUCUGUUAUUCGAACUCAGUCAGCAUGACAGAUUGAUCUCCAGUUAAAAAGGGUAGUCUGUUGGAUUUACUGGAUUAAACUGUGUCUGUGUUGGAUAGAGGCUAAAGUAGUUUUGUGAGCUAACCUUCAUCAGAUGGAGUGGAUGGCUUGGUCAGAGAUGAUCUGGGGACUUCUGUGACGCUGGACAUCGUAUCUUGGUUGCAUCCAGGGCAUUUUCGCAGUGGAUUUAUAAAUAAGGCAUCGAGACCUGGGAUUAAUAGUCCGCUGAUCUGGGCGAGAGCGGAAUCUACAAUUAACUUGACACUGAAUAUGUCACACUGGUAUAAAGGAUUUUGGAGACAGGCGCAGGAAUACACAAUAGGGGUUUUAAAUGCACACAAAACAAACACGAAUACAAAACCACUGGGCUGUACCCAAACAAAAGAGCGAGGGUAAACCUUGUUGAACGACACGGGACGAUACCAGUAAUACACAAUAUAUAGCACGCAUCAUAACAGCUGCUCCAACGCAUAGGUAAUCACACCACCAACGGCCAUGGGAACAAUAACCGACAAAGACAGAGGGAACAGAGGGCACAUAUAUAAUAUACUAAUCAGGGUAAAUGGGAACCAGGUGUGUGUAAUCAGACAAGACAGUCCAGGGUUGAUGAUGAUGAAUCCCUUUCAGUGAAGACUAGAAAGCCGG
rnacentral:lncRNA from 1 species